ACAUAUUGCUUGGCCUUUUGGCUAAGAUCAGUGUAGUAUCUCCUCUUAUCAGCUGAAUAUCUGAUGUCCUCUGUCCAAGGACAAUAAAUUAAAUGGAUUUUUGGACAGGGAGCUUGUUCUCUCCACACCACACAUUGACCUGCUAUUGCAGCAUCUCCAAAAGUGGGGCAUAACCA
ensembl:snRNA U2 U2 spliceosomal RNA